GACGAACGCUGGCGGCGUGCCUAAUACAUGCAAGUCGAGCGAAGCGGAGACUGGGUGAGUAACGCGUGGGUAACGUGCCAUUAAGUCUGGGAGACCAUUUGGAAACAGAUGCUAAUACCGGAUGCUAAAUGAUGGACCGGCGAUGCAUUAGCUAGUUGGUAAGGUAACGGCUUACCAAGGCGAUGAGGCAUAGCCGAGUUGAGGGCCUUAUCGGCCACAUUUGGACUUAGAACCGGCCCAACCUCCUCCGGUGGGAAGAGUUAGGGAAUCUUUCACAUUGGACGAAAGUCUGACGGUGUAACGCCGCGUGAGCGCGUAGGGUUUUCGGAUCGUAAAGCUCUGUUGUUGGUGAAGCGGUAAUCAACCAGAAAGUCACGGCUAACUACGUGCCAGCAGCCGCGGUAAUAC
rnacentral:rRNA from 1 species